rfam:Nitrospirae bacterium RBG_16_43_11 RBG_16_scaffold_9371, whole genome shotgun sequence.
GCUGGCGUAGCUCAGUUGGUAGAGCAGCUGAUUUGUAAUCAGCAGGUCGGGGGUUCAAAUCCCUUCGCCAGCU